AACGAACGCUGGCGGCAUGCCUAACACAUGCAAGUCGAACGAAAAGUCCGGGUCUUGUGGCGCACGGCUGCGUAAGGCGAGGGAACAUGCACUUAGGUUCGGAAUACCUCCCCGAAAGGGGUGCUAAUACCGGAUAAUGUCUUAGGACCAAAGAUUUAUCGCGAUUGAAUGGGCCCGCGUUGGAUUAGAUGGUUGUGAGGGUAAAAGCGUACCACGGCGACGAUCCAUAGCUGGGCAGAGAGGAUGAUCAGCAACACUGGGACUGAGACACGGCCCAGACUCCUACGGGAGGCAGCAGUGGGUAAUAUAGGAACAUGGGCGGAGGCCUGAACCAGCUAUGCCGGGAGAGUGAUGAAGGCCGUAGGGUUGUAAAGCGCUAUUAACCGGGAUGAUAAUGACGGUACCGGGAGAAUAAGCCACGGCUAACUACGUG
rnacentral:rRNA from 1 species